rnacentral:rRNA from 1 species
GGUGACUGGUGGCCAGGAGGCGGGCAGAUGCGGAGGUGGUAAGGUUGGUCGGGAUUUAUUGGGCGGAACGGGCGCGCAGGCGGGGGGUCAAGGACGAGGUGAAAUCUCCCGGCUCAACUGGGAGGGGUCUUCGGAUACUGGUCGACUUGAGGAGAGCAGAGGGGAGUGGAAUUCUCGGUGUAGUGGUGAAAUGCGUAGAUAUCGAGAGGAACACCAGCGGCGAAGGCGGCUCACUGGGCUCUACCUGACGCUGAGGCGCGAAAGCGUGGGGAGCGAACCGGAUUAGAUACCCGUGUAGUC